GGCCCCGAGCAGUCCUGGAUGGCUUUGCUCGUGUCCGUGUGAGAUGGUGCAGGCAGUCUGGCUUUCCUGCAGCUGGCGUGGCCCCAUCCUUCAGAAAACGUGUAUUUCCCAAAGAUACAUUGGAGAAUUUCUGUUACAUCGACGUACCACUCUCCCUCUUGUAGGAAUACAAGCAAAAUUAGGGUUUUUUUUCCUUUCAAAUGGCAAUGCGCUCUCAGAGGCCUCUGCUUUCUGUGUUUAUCAGCAACCAGGAGCUGGUUUAUUCCACAGCCCAAAAGCUGGAGUAGCUGCAGUGACCCAGGGAAGGAUGAGGUUGCAAAGCACUCGCAGCUGCAGCUAAAGCAGGGCAUCACCCCAGCCUGGAGAUUAAAUGCUGCAGGCAACUUUCUGCAGCUCAGAGACAGCUUUUCUUUUCAGUUCCAUAUCUGGAUCUGGAUGGUGACUUAAUUCUCUUCUGCUCACAAAAAGCAGGGUUUGGGUAAAAAAAAAAAGGCCCCAUCAGGAAAUACAGUGACAAAUAUAUUUUGAUUUAGUGGGAAGCAGCAUAUUCUUACUGACAUUUCCCCACCUUCCCUGUACUCUCAGGACUGCUGUAAAAGCUGACAUCAAACUUCUGGAGUUGGCCCAGGUCCAAGUAAAACUGGAGCCAAAAGAAAAAUCUAUUUUGGGGAGUGAGGAGGAAGGAGAUGGAGAGAAAAUAAAGUCAGUUUGUUAUUAGAAAAAGAAAAGGAGGAGGAGAGUAGAAGGGGGUAAUGUGUUUGUUUAACAAUGAUUUUAUUACAAAUGUGAUGUACAGCGACAGUAUGUUAAAUUUCCUAGUCAACAGGGAUCUAUACAAAACAAUUUGUGGCAAAAGGAAACAGAUGCAGUUCUGUCUGCAGCUUCACACAUCUGCUCUGCAAGGCACUGCUCUGCCUAUAAUUCUCUAGGAGGGAUGCAAUAAAAAUGAUAUAAAAUUUUAUUGUGUUAGUGGCACUAGUUAUUACAGUGAGGAGCCAGAAAACUUACCCAGGGCUGAGCUUUUCCCAUCUUUCAGUGCAGGGUAAAUGAUGAGGCUGUUGCUGGUACCAGCAAUAUUAGUGUGAGACUGGUAAAAAUCCUUCUGGAGCAUCAAUCAUGCUGGGUGGAUGGGGGAGACAAAACCAGAGUGGCAAAGCCUAUUAGUAGAAUAAUAGGGAAAGAUGCGUUGGGAAGCAUGGAAAUUAAAUGUUGUACUGGUGUUUAAAAUAAAAUUUUACAAGAAAAAAAAAAAAAAAAGAAAAGAAACCCCAAAAUUUAUAGAAGAAAUCUGUGGAAUAUAUCUGCCCCUGCUCUAUUGUUUGAUGCUAUCAAUUAUAAUUUGCCGUAUUCUUAUUCUGCAUUUCAAUGGCUGUAGCUUAGGAAAUGAGUCAGAGUGGAAUGGCAUAAAGUAAAUAAUGGUAGCUUUCAUUCUGGAUCAGAACAUAUAGAAAAGAAUUGAAAUGAAAUCUAGCUGACCUCCCUUAAAAUGAAAACUUUGUCUAUUUUGGAUUGACUCCCAGAGAUUUCCCUUUGUGGGCAGGCCCAGCACUGUAUUCUGGGGUACUCUUGGAGUGGAUAAGACAUCCAUGGAGGGACAUGUUUCCUGGGAUGCUGGGCCUCAGCAGCUGUUUUUAUUCCAAUUUUUCUUUGUGAUUGCCUAAAUUUCAAAUGUCCUGAUCCGAGAGGGUGUUUAUAAAGCUGUUUCCUCAGGGCAUGGCUGCGCUGCACUUUCAGGAUGCCCCAGGUCAGACAACUAAAUCUCCUCACCCUCUUUUGCAGUUUUGGCAUUCCCUUGUCAGCCUGAGGUGACAGUGGCCAGCCCCCGUGGCUGCCUCUCCUCAGCACGGCCGCCCUGGUCCCAGCCUGGAGGAGGAGGGUUUUGUCAGCUGUCUGAGCUAUUUCUCCUCCUGGCGUUGCCCCUGGGCUACGGGAGCUGGCAGUGGGAAGGAAGCAGGGAGGGCAGAGGGAGGGAGGGAUGGGGAGCAGCCAUGCCCUGCAGGGCCUCCAGAAAAUGGCCACCACCUCCCCUCAUGGCGCCUCACGGUGCCUUGCCCUCUCUAGAGCCCUCACCACCCAUGUGGGUCGUGUCUUUACAUAGUAAAGCAGGAAUUUUUUUUUUUUUUUUUUUUUUUUUGCAUGCUGUGGCUUUUUCUAGAGUUCAGUAACUAAGAAUCCCAGGUGAUGGCACCAGCUUUACUGAGGGGUUUGGUGUGGCAGUUUGGAGAGAGCGGUGUUAUUCCCUCUCCCUGCUUUCCCUGGGUGUUCAUAGCAGUGAGUUGCUAUGUAAAAACUGAAGUUGCUGAAGUAAAAACUUCUCACACAGCCUAAGCACAGGCCUUAACCAUGUCUUUGAACGUGUUAUUUUUAUUAGCAGAGUCUGUUAUCUGCCAAAAAGGAAGUUCAAAGCACUGACAGAACAGCCCCUCUCACCUCAGUGAGGGUACAGCAGGGAGAGCAACACGUUCAUCUUUCUGGUCACGUAUCUUUCAAGAAAUGGAAAUAAAUACUAGGCUAUGAAGCUUUUGUAGAAUACAGUGUUGUUUAGAAACUGGAAGACCCUUGCAAGAUGUGGUGUUUCUGAUGAUGUUCGUGACCCACUCCCUUAUCUCCUCGGCAUACUGAACAAACUGCUGGCAUGGCCCCUGGAAAGCAGCUGUCUUGACCUGAAGAAACUCAGAACUGACCCGAGAAUGACAGAGGUCUCCUGCUCCCCUGCAGCCUUGGCGUGGGUGUUGCAUGUUCACAUAAGCUAAUGGGGUAUCUUUAACAUGAAGCAUGACAGCUCUGCUUUGUGAAGAAGGUUGCUGAAGGGCUGAACUGUUCCUGUGCUCUUUAGAAGGGUAUAAAUCCUGAUGGCUUUGGAGGUUUUGGAUAUUUCUGAAGAUGUAGAUCAAGAGCUGCCUUUUCUAAAGUUAUCAUCGAGGGAUGUCAUGCUUGUAAAGCCAGCAAAGUACAUGUCUGCUGUGGCCUGCGGGGUGGAGAGAAAAAAAUAUAUAUAUUUCAUGAAAGU